UUGUGCAUAUAUAAAAAUUAAAUUCAAAUUAAUUAAUUUAUUAAUUUUACUUUUAAAUCCUAAAAAUUUAAUUUUUUUUUAAAAAAAAAUUUUUAAAUGCAACUCAUUUUAAUCUUUAAAAUACUACAUAUUGAUCUGAAAUAAUUUUUAAUAAAAUAUUUUAAAUAAAAUAAUUUUAUUUAUUUUUUUAACGAACAUACAUAAAUUAAUAUUUAAAGUUUAAUUUAACGUGGAUUAUCAAUUAUUAAACAAGUUUCCCUAAAUAAAUUUAUAUACUGCCAUAUUUAAAUAUUUCAUUAAUUUAAUAAAAUAUUAAUAAAUUUAAUUUUAAUACUAGGGUAUCUAAUCCUAGUUUA
rnacentral:rRNA from 1 species